GGAGGAAAGUAGGGGAUCGAAAGACCUUAUGCUUUUGGAGCGGCCGAUGUCUGAUUAGCUAGUCGGUGGGGUAAUUGCCUACCAAGGCGACGAUCAGUAGUUGGUCUGAGAGGACGACCAGCCACACUGGGACUGAGACACGGCCCAGACUCCUACGGGAGGCAGCAGUGGGGAAUUUUGGACAAUGGGCGCAAGCCUGAUCCAGCAAUGCCGCGUGAGUGAAGAAGGCCUUCGGGUUGUAAAGCUCUUUCAGUUGAGAAGAAAAGAUUGUAACUAAUAAUUACAGUUCAUGACGGUAUCAACAGAAGAAGCACCGGCUAACUACGUGCCAGCAGCCGCGGUAAUACGUAGGGUGCAAGCGUUAAUCGGAAUUACUGGGCGUAAAGGGAGCGCAGGCGGUUCUGUAAGUCAGAUGUGAAAUCCCCGGGCUUAACCUGGGAACUGCGUUUGAAACUACAAAGCUAGA
rnacentral:rRNA from 1 species